AUAAACUUAUCCAUAAGACAACUGGUUGAAAUUUCUACGUAACCAAUAUGUAUAGAUAAUUUGUAUUAAUGUUAGGCUCAAGCAAAUAAUAAGUGGCACAUCUAUAAUGUAUCUAACCAAUGUUAUAUAUAAAGUCAAUAAAGAAACUAGUAGAAACCAGUGGAUUUGACGAAAUAAAGAUUUAUAUAAAGAUAAAUAAGUCAUAUAAAGAUAAAAUAUUACUUAAAAGUGACGGAUAAAAUAAGUAUAUUAUUCUGUAGGAAGAUAUUUAGGAAUUCUAUAUUAUUCUAUAGGAAGAUAUUUAGGGGUUCAUUAAUCAAUCUUAUGUUGUAUUCCAAUCUACAAAUAAAAGAAUGGAAGACGAUCAUAUAUAUGGAAAUAAAUUCUCUUUAUGCCAAGACGAAAUUGUAUUGGAGAUAAUGAAUGUGAAUAAUGAAAAUUCUGUAGGAGAUUCUUUAUUAACAGAUUUAGUUAGAGGAUAUCCCUAUGUAUAUAAUAAAUCACCGCCAAAUUUUAAAGAUUCUUUAAUGAAAGAAAAUUCAUGGGAAGAAAUAGCUAAAAAUCAUGAUCUUGGUCACCUACUGAAUGUCAAAAUCGAUGGAUCAGAUUAAGGGAAAGAUUUUCUAAAGAAAGAAGAGAA
rnacentral:misc_RNA from 1 species